rnacentral:lncRNA from 1 species
UAAUUCAUCCUUUUGACCCCUGUGUUUAGGACGACUCAGGGUUAAACUGUCAACCCUGAUUAGAUCAUCCGAAUCAUGCUCAACUCAAACAGUCCUGUGACUCCUCACAAGGACUACCCUGGCCAAGAUUUUGCUAAAUUAAAAUACGACUGUACACAGCUCCUAAACUGGAGUGGUCAAUUUCAUCUUGACACACGCACCGACAAGUCAAGUACUUGACUACACCCAGCAGCCUUCCGUCACUGAAUUAAAAAUUCAGGUAGUCCAGUGCCUAAGUGCAGUGAGUAGCUUGCAAGUCAUCAUGGCGAUCUC